UCUCUUCCGAGGACAUCCCCAGCUGUGGGGUCGCGGCCUGCCGCUAUGUCUUGUCUUUUACUCCGUCUUCUUCCCCACAGCCACACACACACACAUCCUCGCUUAAAUUUUCUUGUUGUUUCCUUCUUUAUUGCAACCGCACACCCACUGCUCUCUCUCUCUGUCUCUCUGUGACUCGUUUGCACGCAUCUCCUUAUACGGAGUGAGGGUAAUCAUUCCUUCAUCAUCGCCUCCUAUGCUGCUCAAACAUCUCUUGCAGCAGCCGGAAGGAAGCCGGAAGUCAUGGGGGAGGGAGGGGGGAGAGGAGGAUAAAGCCAAAGGCAGCUGAGAGGACCAUCAAGAAAGGGAAGCUUUUUCCUUGAGGGGAAUGUUGUCUGGCUCGAGGCCAUCUUCUCCUUCACUGUUGUUGCGUGUGAAGAGAUCUCGGACCAGGCUUCAUUCCCCUCAAUCACAGCUUCCAUCUCUACCAUUUGUGACCCAGCUUCUCUUAUAUUGAUCUCAUCUCCUGUUUUGUCAGAUUGGAGCAAUCAUGGUGGGGAGGGGUUAUGACUACCUACCUUCUUUUCAUGAUCUAUCCUUUCUGCUCAUGCUGACAUGCAGGGUAAGAGGCUUUCAUCAUUACCUUCCAAGAAGGGUUUCUUCUUUUGUCUCUCUUUCUUUUUCCUUGCAGACCUGCAGGCAGAGUUACCCGGAUGUCUUCCCAGGUUAACCAGCUCUGCAUCUCUCAGUUCUUCUUGACAUGGUUCAGCUUUCUUUGCUUGUGUGCUGACAGUACUAUUUCUUCUUGGCUUUCUUUUUCCUUGCAAAUCUGCACGGUGGGGAGGUUCCCUGCAAGGUUUUCCAGGUUGACCGAGUUUGGAUCUCUGAUGUCUUUCUGGUUUCUUUGUUCUCUCUCUUCCCAUGUUUGCAAUCCCUCUUAGGGGUUUCUUUUCUUUGUUUGCCGAGCAUGGUCGUGUGUUGCCAUAGACUUCAUUACGUCAAAUGUCUGAGGCAAUUAACGAGGCCUUUUGCAGUCGGCGUUAUGAUAUUGAUUAGAGAUUACGGGUAUACAUAUAUAUAUAUAUAUGUACCUUUGAUCUUUAGAUAUUUCUACCGUGGUUGAUGACCUUAGUUUUUGAAGAGAAGCUUUCUCUUCAUGGAAUAAGCAUAAAGAAACCUUCUGCACCCUUUAGGUUUUGUUUUGGAGGAAAUAGAUAGAGCAGUGAGAGAGACUUGAACAUGUGAAACCUCUCACAACCAGCUUUGCUUUUCGCUUAAGAACAUUGCACUACUGUGGCUGUUACCGCCAUCUCCAUAACCUUGUUUUCUUCUGUUGGCGAAGCAUGAAAUACUGAGAGAGAGAGAGAGAGAGAGAGAGAGAGAAGGUUAGGGUUUGAGAAGGUAAAAAUGACAGCUUUCAAAUCGGAGACUCCCCACACGGAAGCAGAAAACGUCAGCUUGCACCCGAUGGACGCGACGUCGCAGGGCUCACGCACCAUCACCGGCAACCUUCUUGCGGUGACUUGGCUUCGCUGUGUUGUGUCAUCCGAACUGAAAACUAAGCAUUCCUAUGAUCACAAACAUAUCUAACAACAGCACCAUGCACUUGCUUUUUA